CGCCAUUCCAUGAUCAUUGGGUUAUCGUCUGCAUUCCUGACGUAGUGUUUACAGCUUCCUGCUUAUGGCAACAAGGAAGCAGAACGCAGAGUGAUGAGAGAUUUAUGUGGAUAUGAUAGCACUGGACACUUCGAGGCUCCAUUGGCAAAACAUGCGGCAAAUAGGAAACCAAGGGGUGAGCUGAAAAUAUCUAUGACCUUUGACAUUUAAGAAGUAUAUGCCCUAAGAUUUCUACAGAUCCUGAAAUUCAUCACUACGGCAGAAUCACGCAUCUUAUGGAUGGUGCUAAGUUUUUACAGUUGUCUUAGCCCCAGUGGUUCUCAAAGUGGGGUUCCUGGCCCAGCAGCAGCAUCCCGCUAGGAACUUCUUAGAAAUGCAAAG
rnacentral:lncRNA from 10 species